UCCAAACGAGCAGGCUGAGACACAACGUUAAGCUACAUUCAUCGACGGCAGGGGCUGACCUGUUGAGUGGUCCGUUUGAAUAGCAAUACAGAUUGGUAGGCGAACAUCGGCCAAAAGCUAUCGCUCAGGAUCGUACUUCUCAUAUGCUAAACCGUGCUACCCAAUUUGCAUUACUGGAACAAUUUUAUUUCCUCAAAGUCUAACGGUUUCUUUCCGUCUCGGAAGACGAGCAGAAGGCACCGGCAGUAUGGUGUUUUGUGUUGGGCGCAUGCGUUGGCCGCUUCGCGCAUCGCGUUCGUGGUGGCCGCUUCAGGCGCUGCUGUUAACCAUAGCAGCAGAAGACUUGGUCGUCUGUCUGUUAGUUUUUGAAUGUGGUGCUUGUCUGGAACGAGCAGAGCUCCGUCAGUUUGUCGGAACGUUAGACCGGCCUUACCAGCACAUUGUUUUCUAAUCGUCCUGUCUACACUAGUGAGAGGCUAAAGAGGGGCAGUGAACAGGUGGCUGAUGACCGAACGCCAUUCGAUUGUUCUCUUCACGAUACUACGCGUAGUGUGCCCGCUUAACGUGGCGUUUUGUUUUGGGCGAUAACCACAUUCAAUGACGAUAACAACCAAAUGCGAGUGUCUUAUUGAGCGAAAUUGUUGCAGUACUGUCGGUAGGAAUUCUAGGGAGCGACGAUAGUCUCGAAGCGACGGGAGAAAACAUUGAAUAAGCAUGCGGCCGCAUGCACCUACAGGAGUGAUUGCGACUGCCACAGCUGCUCCUGCCACUUAGGGACAGUUGAAUAAUGCUGAUGAUGAUGACAACGACGACGACAGACGAGCGAAUAUAUGUUUUGAUCGGCUGAGAGCAAUUACUGCGUUUGUUGUUAUCGUUGAAGUAGGAAACUGUUUAUGGUAGUGAAAAGGAGCCUAGAAGAACAAUAGGACGUGGCUGUACAUUUCUUUAUACUUGCUUUUUGUAACUACGUUCUGUAUUGCAACAUGUUACGUAAUCAGUGGCCAGUGCCGGCUGACUCACCUGAUCCACACGACUUGGACGAAGUUCUACAUGACCUCUAUCCACACGGGAUAAGAGAGAAAAAACAGUUCUUUGUCGAUCCAAAAAGCAGAUUAAGGCUACAACUUGCGCAGGAUGGGUGCACUUUCAGCAUGGUGUGUCUCGCAAAGAAGAUCUUUCAGGAGCACCAGGUGAAUGAUGACAUAUCAAUGGAAGUUGCGUUUCGCUGGCUUCUUAAAGCGGCCCGUGAGGGCGACGAAGCAGCUAUCGCAAUGCUUUUAUCGAAGCGGCAGUUUUGUCCACCUUUGUUGGCUCCGUUUGUUGACAACACGCUUGAGCGUGGCUAUUGCGAAGAGGAGCUAUCAGCCACAUACGCAAAGCGAAUCGUAUCGAGGUUCAAAAAGACUUACAUCAACGCCGAUGAGAAGGUCGUGGCCGCGCAGGUUCUCAAGUUAAUUUCGGGCGAGAUACCCAAAUGCGAGUCGUUGUUCGCGCAACGGUUUCGGCAUACGUUCGGUGAUCUGUUCGCUCUCGGAAUGACGCUCGCUAUCGGCGGCUUUAUUGGACAUAGAUAUAUAUCUUCGUUCGACCAUUUACUUAGUCAUAAGCUUGCUCCGGCCAUGGACGCAUUUUUCGCAUUUCUCUGCACGGUUCUCCUCAUCGUUAGCAUGCGAACGUACUGUGCGUUAUUUACGUGCGGCAUGUACUCGAAGGUGAUGCGUCUCGAUGCGAAAUACCGCGACCGUCCACUACCGUUCAGACUUCGAAUGUUCUGGACUCUAUUCAAACUGUAUCUAUUAUCCUUUUCGUGUGUUACGUCCAUGAUUGUUCUAUCGACUCUGGCCUUUGGAAGAGUCUCGUUGACGGUAUUCAGCUGUACGACAUAUUUGAUUAUGCUUGUUGACCUCGUUAAGCAUCUACACUUGUGGCGAAACAGCUACCGGGAACCCGAUUUGUACAUCGGUCGAUUUCCACUACUCCUCAAAUUCAUCUCAGUCGUGUGCGUGUUCUCUCUGUUCUCUUUUACCAAGACGGAGCUACAAGAUACGAUCAUUACGCUGUCAAUGACUCUUGUCGCAUGUAGUAUACUCUAUCUCUCCGAUAGCUGUUCCGUGUUUACGUUCACCUUCCUCACGAGCGAGUACUCGAUCAUUUUGCAAGGCCUAUCAGUGACCAAGACGACAGUCUUCGUCACUAUUCGUCAAUUGUUUAUCGGCGUGCCUCGAAAUAUGAAGGCUUUCAUACUCCUUCUGUUAGCAAUGUACGCGCUGUAUUCGCUUCCACCCGGCAUUUUGUUUCAUCCCAGAGACACGAAUCCGAGGGACAUCUAUGAAAUCUGCAGUUAUACGCCUUCAUUGGACACGAUGGUGGCCUGCAGUAAACUAGAGGGUCACGCCUUAACUGAUGUUGUUGGCAGAGUCGAAUCAAUUAAUCUUCUUCAUCGAAGCAACAUGCUAGAAAGUAUUGGGGUGAAACACUGGAAGCUAAAUGAUGGCUCCGUAGAGAUUGGAGUGGACUCCUUUGAAAAGGUCAAGGUUGCAGUCACACUCACGAUUGAUGACAUUUCUGCCUCAGUCAUACUUGACGACGACGCCCUAAGUUUGAUUCGGUCUCUCAGGCCAAAGAAUUAUAUUAGAGUAAGUGGAAUUCUCGAGCAGGUGCGGACAGGGCCUGAAGUGCAACUCGCAGUUCAUUCGUACAGACAGGACGGACAGCGGGUUGAAAUCAAGCAAAUCAGGACUGCACUGAGGCUUUAUUGGAAGCACGUACUUGACAUCUUCGACGAAUGGAAAAGUCGAAUUGAUUAUAUUUCCGCCGCAGUUAAUCGUGACGAUUUACCCGAUGCUCGGAACGAACUUUAGUGACGGUUUUUCUACUACAAGAAGUCAGGGAACCCAUUGUGUCCUUGAUUCCGGCUUACAUCAAACUGACGUGGCCGCCGAUACCGGCGGUAAUCGCGACGGAAACGGCCGAAGGCGGCUUAAAAUUUUAAUGGUCGGAAGGAAGCAGGAAAAGGGGAUAAAAGGCAGCGGCGUUGGCAAGAGUUGCACCUUGGAGAAUUCCCGUUGGAACGGAGCACCACUGACUUGUCGUUGGAUAGCGAAAAAACCUUCAAACACGUAGCAUUCUGUGAAAAAGAUAGAACAUUUUAGCGGUAUUUUCAAUUAAAGAUCAAUGUCUCUUGUAUGAAUAAAAUGCCAUUUGGUCAACAGUAAUCCCACUUGAAGCGCAGAUGGAAACCUGGACAGGACUUUUUGCUGAAUAUGUUUACUAUAAAAGGUUGAGAUCUGAAUAAUGACAGUGCUAACAUCUUUGUAAUAAUCCACAAAAGCAACAAGCGGUAACCAUUUCCUUGGAUGUUGUAAUUUGCUCUAUGUUAAAUGCUUUUAGCUCAGGAAAUGCCGCAGCUUACACCUAUAUGAAAUACUAUAAUAACGACAUGGCCGAAAUUGUGAGACUACAUUUCGAAUAGAACACCUACAAACGGGCCCCUGACAAACCUGAAAUGGUAGGCAUACUUUGUUUUGCAUUUACUUUACCUCAAAACGGUCAGGCGCCAACGUACGUUUCGUAGAACAUGGUGCACAGAAAACUCAUGAUAAUUCAAACAAUCUAUAUGUUUAGCACCGUUAUCAAUCGCGAGAUUGGGACACCACCGAUUGUUUGCUCUUGUAAAUGAGAAGUGGUCUUCUUACGAAGAAAUUAAACUUGGUGUGAUUAUUUGUUACGCAGUUAUCACGAUAUGGUGCCGCUUACUAGAAGUACUAGUUGGGCUAAGCCGCAAAAAGGGUCCAAACAAAUGAGCAUCCACCUGCGCAUUGUCAGAAGCUGAGGAAGAUGUUUCCUGUAAUUUUCCGUCACUCAGUAUUUCUCCUUAUGUUAAACAAUCCCAUCUCCAACCCCCAACAACCAAGGCUAAGAGAAGUUGUACGUUUCUCGUUCCGUCUGCUCCUUCUCGUCUUUUCGCAUCGCAGCCAUCCAGAGCAGAGCAUACUUUAGCUUGACGGGUAAAGUCCUACACGAAGGCGCAACUCGCGCAGAAAAGGGCGAUAGACCACUGGCUUAUUAUUCGUUCUCUGUUUACUCGCUGUCGCUGUAGUACCCCCCAAUUAGUUGUUAUUUGUUUUAUUGUGUUUGGUCUGCAACCCUCCAGCUAUAAGGUGACUACUGAUUGCGACGGCUGACAAAACAUGGACAGCGAUGUAGCAUAGCGCCUGAGUAAAUCAUUGAGACUUCUCAUUCCGACAGAGGUAGGCCAAGGCGCUAGCAAAACUAUCGUUACCGCCGGCACGAGCCACAGCAAUACCUUCUUCAGGAAACGCAGCUAUUUACUAUAACUCGAUCUCUGACUCUUCAAUGUCUUCAAUAAACCAAAUCAACUAUAUCUUUCUCAACUCGAAUAAUCGUCAAAUGAAGUUGGAUACAAGCUUGAUUCUCUGAUUGAUUCCCCUUUCACGUUGUAGAAGCUUGAAACAUAAAAAUAUACACAUGAAAAGCUUCUAAACAUAUUAAAUAAUAAAUCGACUGGCAGUUUUAUUAAAUUGUUUUAAAUAGGGAAUUACCUAACACAUUAAACAGAGAAACACAGAUUAGCCCAGAAAUAUUUACACUUUGUUUUUAUGUAAAAUACAUAAAAUAGCGAUUGUUUUGUUACAACUUUAGUUCCAGAAUAUUUGUGCUCAAUCCGACGACUGAUACUUAAAUCAGGGUAUCCUUAGUUUGAAAUAUUAGGUUGGGAGUCUACCUAUUUUCGAGCGCGAAACUUUUUUUUUAUCCCGUCUUACUCGAUAACUUUAGAGUGAACAUAAGUUUAAUUUUUAUAGUAGUGCCUAACGUUUAAAGUCUACGGAUAAAGUUUUCAGGGUCAAGAUUCAUUUAAUAAUACAUGACUCAUAUACCCAUGACCUACUAACCUUUCUGAUUCAUUACUGGGUACAGAACUCAAAACGUAUGGAAAAGUGUCACUGUAUAAAAUACCAUUUAUAUAAUAUCAAGCAGCCUGAUGCUUCAUAUUAUUAGCCCAAGGUAAGGUUAAGAACAAAUUAGCGAAUUUUCAAGGUCUCACUAAAUUCUGGUCCUGUCAUAAGUAAAGGGCCCGGGCGCACGACGGUGUCUCCACCAUGCGUUCAUCCGCCCGAACUACUCGAAAUUCAUUGCUGUCCUAUGGGUGAUGGCUAACUGAUUGAGGGUUCGACGUAUCAUCUGCCUGUCUUUGAGAUACAGGUAGACUUACUGUGAGUGUUUGGGAAAUGAU